rnacentral:lncRNA from 1 species
GGCCGUACUUAUAAAACUCCACAAAGAUGCCGUCUUAGUUAGGAAAAGUACUUAACCUACGAGACUUAAGCGCUAAGAAUCUUUCCUAGCAGGAUGCUUUGUUAAGUAACCGUCUUUAGGCGCUUACACCGCUAACCGCUAACAUGAGCAGACGUUAUGUAAUGUUUUUUGAGGAAUUUUGCAAGAAACGGGUAAAAAUACGUAAUUAUUAUAUUUUAAAUAAAAAACAUAUUUAUCUAGUUAGUUUUCAACAAUCACCUCUUCAUUUUAACCUUGAUAAUUGAAGGUAUAAAUUUACCACCACUGUUGUCAUCUUGUCAAAACAACAAUCAUUUGGCGCCAACUUCGACUGCGCACCAUGGCUACUCAAGAGACUCAAGACAAGAAGAGGAACAGGAAGACGAACUGGACGCCUUCAUCUGGCCCACCUAUACAAAAUUCUCGCAAAAAUACUCCGGAGCGACUUCUCCACAGCUGGCUGCUCUAAGGAAGCCAGAAAUGCUGCUUGGAGGACCAAUAGUGCGGAGGUGUCUGCCGUGUCAGACAUUCUCCGCACUGAGGAGUGCCAGAAACAUUGGCAUAUUAUAAAAUCUGAGGCAAGACGGAACACCCGCAAGCAGAGAGAAGCCAUGACUGCCACAGGUGGUGGACCUCCUGCCAACCCUCCUCUCUCCCAGCUCGAUGAGUUAAUCUUUGAGAUUUUGGACCCCAAGAAUGUCUCUAUUCAUGGGUGUACCAAUAAGGCAAGCAUCAUUGAAUGCACCUUCCUUAACAAAGGAUAAGCCACUUGUAGAUAUAGCAAUAUUAGGCCAUAAUGUUGUCUCAAAUGUCUGCAAUCCAAAAUACUCGUGUUCCCAGUUAGUUUACAACUUACAGUUAUACACAAUGGUAAAUUUGUUAUCUAGUGUUGAGAAAAUUUCAUUUAUUUAUUUUUUUUUUUUAUUCCUUAACCAAACAGAUAAAACAGUAAUAAGAAAAGAAAAAAACUAAUAAAGUUAACUUAAUUCCUAUCCCUUCUCCCCAUUCAUAAGUAUGGUGUUGUAGUGGGUGAAUGUGUUAAUGAUAACGAGUCUUAGGUAUUUACAGUUUCUUAGACAUGGGCUUCCUUCAAACAGAAUAGGAUUUAAGUCAAACACAUUGUACCCUUAGCUAGAUUUACUGGUUUCUGUUACUUUUGUCCUUAGCAAUAAAACCAAAAACAUUAUCAGCUUAGUUUCUGAAGUUAGAACUAAUGAUGCCAGCAGUGUUCAGGCAGCAGAUGAUGCUGGGGAAGUGGCAGAGGCAGCCCAACAGAGAGAAGUGGUGACCGAGGCAGUGGGUGUUGAGGAGGAGGCACCUGCCACACCACUUCCAGCACCAGUGAUGUGGCACCAACAGGGGCCAGACUUGCCUGGUAUAUCACUGGUGUUUGUGGAUGAGGAGGAGAUCAUCCACCUGCAGAAGAAAAGGAAGCUUGAGCUUGCACUCCUUGAAGAAUCUAUAAUGGCUCAGGAAAGGAAGCAAGAAGCAGAACAGGCUAAGUACAUGUACUACACACAAAAACUAGAGUACCAGAAACAAACAAAUAAAAAAUAGUAAUAAAGAUAUAAAUAAUGUA